GACGAACGCUGGCGGCGUGCUUAACACAUGCCAGUCGAACGGAAAGGCCCCUUUGGGGGUACUCGAGUGGCGAACGGGUGAGUAACACGUGAGUAACCUGCCCUUGACUUCGGGAUAACUUCAGGAAACUGGGGCUAAUACCGGAUAGGAAUCCUUGCUGCAUGGUGGGGGUUGGAAAGCUUCGGCGGUUUUGGCUGGACUCGCGGCUUAUCAGCUUGUUGGUGGGGUAGUGGCUUACCAAGGCUUUGACGGGUAGCCGGCCUGAGAGGGCGACCGGCCACAUUGGGACUGAGAUACGGCCCAGACUCCUACGGGAGGCAGCAGUGGGGAAGAUUGCACAAUGGGCGGAAGCCUGAUGCAGCAACGCCGCGUGCGGGAUGACGGCCUUCGGGUUGUAAACCGCGUUCAGCAGGGGCGAAGCUUGUGGUGACGGUACCUGCAGAAGAAGCACCGGCUAACUACGUG
rnacentral:rRNA from 1 species